GAUUCUGGCUCAGGACGAACGCUGGCGGCGUGCCUAACACAUGCAAGUCGAGCGGGGACAUUGCGACGGAGGCGAAGUACUCGUACGGAGUCAAAGAUGUAAUGUUCUAGCGGCGGACGGGUGAGUAACGCGUGAGCAACCUGUCCCUUACAGGGGGAUAACACAGCGAAAGUUGUACUAAUACCGCAUAAGACCACAGGAUGACAUCGUCCAGGGGUCAAAGGAGCAAUCCGGUAAGGGGUGGGCUCGCGUCCGAUUAGAUAGUUGGUGAGGUAACGGCCCACCAAGUCGACGAUCGGUAGCCGACCUGAGAGGGUGAUCGGCCACAUUGGGACUGAGACACGGCCCAAACUCCUACGGGAGGCAGCAGUGGGGAAUAUUGGGCAAUGGGGGGAAACCCUGACCCAGCAACGCCGCGUGAGGGAAGAAGGUUUUCGGAUCGUAAACCUCUGUCCCAGGUGAAGAGGAAGAGACGGUAGCCUGGGAGGAAGCCCCGGCUAACUACGUGCCAGCCGCCGC
rnacentral:rRNA from 1 species